GGUGACACGGAGCUUGCUCUGUGGGAUCAGUGGCGAACGGGUGAGUAACACGUGAGCAACCUGCCCCUGACUCUGGGAUAAGCGCUGGAAACGGCGUCUAAUACUGGAUAUGUGACGUGACCGCAUGGUCUGCGUUUGGAAAGAUUUUUCGGUUGGGGAUGGGCUCGCGGCCUAUCAGCUUGUUGGUGAGGUAAUGGCUCACCAAGGCGUCGACAGGGGUAGCCGGCCGGAAAGGUUGACCGGCCACACUGGGACUGAGACACGGCCCAGACUCCUACGGGAGGCAGCAGUGGGGAAUAUUGCACAAUGGGCGGAAGCCUGAUGCAGCAACGCCGCGUGAGGGAUGACGGCCUUCGGGUUGUAAACCUCUUUUAGCAGGGAAGAAGCGAAAGUGACGGUACCUGCAGAAAAAGCGCCGGCUAACUACGUGCCAGCAGCCGCGGUAAUACGUAGGGCGCAAGCGUUAUCCGGAAUUAUUGGGGCGUAAAGAGCUCGUAGGCGGUUUGUCGCGUCUGCUGUGAAAUCCCGAGGCUCAACCUCGGGCCUGCAGUGGGUACGGGCAGACUAGAGUGGGGUAGGGGGAGAUUGGAAUUCCUGGUGUAGCGGUGGAAUGCGCAGAUAUCAGGAGGAACACCGAUGGCGAAGGCAGAUCUCUGGGCCGUAACUGACGCUGAGGAGCGAAAGGGUGGGGAGCAAACAGGCUUAGAUACCCUGGUAGUCCACCCCGUAAACGUUGGGAACUAGUUGUGGGGUCCAUUCCACGGAUUCCGUGACGCAGCUAACGCAUUAAGUUCCCCGCCUGGGGAGUACGGCCGCAAGGCUAAAACUCAAAGGAAUUGACGGGGACCCGCACAAGCGGCGGAGCAUGCGGAUUAAUUCGAUGCAACGCGAAGAACCUUACCAAGGCUUGACAUAUACGAGAACGGGCCAGAAAUGGUCAACUCUUUGGACACUCGUAAACAGGUGGUGCAUGGUUGUCGUCAGCUCGUGUCGUGAGAUGUUGGGUUAAGUCCCGCAACGAGCGCAACCCCUCGUUCUAUGUUGCCAGCACGUAAUGGUGGGAACUCAUGGGAUACUGCCGGGGUCAACUCGGAGGAAGGUGGGGAUGACGUCAAAUCAUCAUGCCCCUUAUGUCUUGGGCUUCACGCAUGCUACAAUGGCCGGUACAAAGGGCUGCAAUACCGUGAGGUGGAGCGAAUCCCAAAAAGCCGGUCCCAGUUCGGAUUGAGGUCUGCAACUCGACCUCAUGAAGUCGGAGUCGCUAGUAAUCGCAGAUCAGCAACGCUGCGGUGAAUACGUUCCCGGGUCUUGUACACACCGCCCGUCAAGUCAUGAAAGUCGGUAACACCUGAAGCCGGUGGCCUAACCCUUGUGGAGGGAGCCGUCGAA
rnacentral:rRNA from 1 species